rnacentral:rRNA from 1 species
CACGAACCGUACGAACGUUAUUCGGAAUUACUGGGCUUAAAGGGUUUGUAGGCGGCCUUGUAAGUCGGGUGUGAAAGCCCUCGGCUCAACCGAGGAACAGCGCUUGAUACUGCAAGGCUUGAGGGAGACAGGGGUAAGCGGAACUGAUGGUGGAGCGGUGAAAUGCGUUGAUAUCAUCAGGAACACCGGUGGCGAAAGCGGCUUACUGGGUCUCUUCUGACGCUGAGGAACGAAAGCUAGGGUAGCGAACGGG